rnacentral:rRNA from 1 species
UGUAGAGUGCUAUUUUUUAGAGAUAGAAAUCCUUCGGGCUUUCUGCAAGGUGCUGCAUGGUUGUCGUCAGCUCGUGCCGUGAGGUGUCGGGUUAAGUCCCAUAACGAGCGCAACCCUUAUCGUUAGUUGCCAGCUGGUAAAGCAGGGGACUCUAGCGAAACUGCCACCGUAAGGUGAGAGGAAGUGGGAUGACGUCAAAUCAGCACGGCCCUUAUGUCCAGGGCUACACACGUGUUACAAUGGCCGGCACAGAGGGCAGCUACCUGGUGACAGGAUGCUAAUCUCGAAAACCGGUCUCAGUUCGGAUCGAAGUCUGCAACUCGACUUCGUGAAGCUGGAUUCGCUAGUAAUCGCGCAUCAGCCAUGGCGCGGUGAAUACGUUCCCGGGCCUU